CUUCCUUCUUGCUUUGAAUUUUCCGACGCCUCUGAUUUGUUUGUCCGCACUAGUCAAUUUCUUAAUUAAUUUUAUGCUUGUCACUAGUCCUUGUCCUUGUCCUUGGUGGAUCCUGAUCCUCACCAAUUUCCUUAAGAAGCAAUUAGGUGCAAUUUUUCCUUAAUCCGACGGCAACAGUUGCUGCUAAUAUGGAUGGUCAAGAUCAAGUGAGAGAAAACCAAGGCUCAAUGUGGUCUGCAGCUGCAAAGCCCGAUCCAGAUCGGAAGAUCCACCAUUCAAAAUCCCUUUGAUUCAAAAGUGCCCUUUGGCCGAUAGCAGAUGUGCCGACGCGUUUCAUCGGAAGAAGGCUAGAAUCGCUAUUGUACCGAUUGCAAGACUACGAAAACCACCUUGUGGAGAGGCGAACUAGUUGGGCCUAAGAUAGAGAAAGAACAGAAGGGCUCUGCUAAGCUUUAGCAAAGGAGGACGAGAGAAGAAGAAAGACAGGAGAAGUAACACAAAUAACAACAACAAGCUCGGUGUUUCACUAAAGCUUAGAAUACUAGAAUUAGGGAGGAAGGUAUUUCUGGAUAGAUCAACCAUGGAGAAGUAGAGGAAGUUGGGAGAAGAAGAACGAGCGGCCGUGCUACUGAUGGCCUUAUCCCGUGGCUCUGUCUAUGCCUAAUCAAUCCUUGAGAUAUUUGGGAAAUUUCAGUUUUCUUUUAAGUUUUGAUGUUUAUCCCUGCAAACCCUUUUGCUUUUCCUUCUUGUUUAAUGGGGUUUGGGGGGUUAUAGACAUAAAAGAAGAAAUUGAAGGUAGGUAGGAGGAUGAGGAUGGUUGCAGAUCAUGGUUUUGUUAACAAGGACUAAAUCCUGUACUCUUUUGUUCCGUAAAUGUAUCUAUAAAUCUUUUUAUA